rnacentral:rRNA from 1 species
UACGUAGGGUGCGAGCGUUGUCCGGAAUUAUUGGGCGUAAAGAGCUUGUAGGCGGUCUGUCGCGUCUGCUGUGAAAAUCCGGGGCUCAACCCCGGACUUGCAGUGGGUACGGGCAGACUAGAGUGUUGCAGGGGAGACUGGAAUUCCUGGUGUAGCGGUGAAAUGCGCAGAUAUCAGGAGGAACACCGGUGGCGAAGGCGGGUCUCUGGGCAACAACUGACGCUGAGGAGCGAAAGCGUGGGGAGCGAACAGG